GAGGAAUAUUGGUCAAUGGGGGCAACCCUGAACCAGCCAAGUCGCGUGAAGGAUGAAGGUCUUAUGGAUUGUAAACUUCUUUUAUACGGGAAUAAAGUGGGGGACGUGUCCCCCUUUGCAUGUACCGUAUGAAUAAGGAUCGGCUAACUCCGUGCCAGCAGCCGCGGUAAUACGGAGGAUCCGAGCGUUAUCCGGAUUUAUUGGGUUUAAAGGGUGCGCAGGCGGGAUGUUAAGUCGGCGGUGAAAUUUUGCAGCUCAACUGUAAAAGUGCCUUCGAUACUGGCCUCCUUGAGUGUGGAUGAAGUAGGCGGAAUUUGUGGUGUAGCGGUGAAAUGCUUAGAUAUCACGAGGAACUCCGAUUGCGCAGGCAGCUUACUAAACCACAACUGACGCUCAUGCACGAAGGCGUGGGGAUCAAAC
rnacentral:rRNA from 1 species